UCAAUUCGAGCCAUCUGGGGUUGUAGUAUGUUCCAAGGGUUGGGUUGUUUGCCCAUUAAAGCGGUACGUGAGCUGGGUUCAGAACGUUCGUGAGACAGUUC
rfam:Gossypium raimondii chromosome 11, whole genome shotgun sequence.